rnacentral:sRNA from 1 species
CCCAGGGCUGUGCCCUGGGCUAAUAUGAUUCGCGCCGUUGGCGCG